UUUGCAUUAUAUAGUUUUUUCCAUAUGUUUGCGAGGUUCCACUUGAAGUGCUUUUUGUGCCUUGGGACAGUGGGGAAACAGGGUGCGUUAGGGAUGGGGUCAGGGGCAUGGUGCAAACGGAGGAUAGGGGCACAGUGGACACAAUUUGAUUCAGUUCUGUUUUGUUUUUUAAGUGUUUCAUUAAAAUGCUUCGAGUGUUUCAGCUGUUUCUUACUUAAUGUUGCAAGUGUUUCAUCU
rnacentral:lncRNA from 1 species